UCCACCAGAAUACUUGCAAGUAUUCUAGUGCGACCUAGUGACUGACGAAUAGAAAACGGCUAACGUUAUUUCGACAGACUAACAGUGUUUUGGCUGAAAACGAGGUCAAGGCCAAUGAAUGGACAGCUUUGUAAAGAUACGCUGAAUGACUGGAACCUGGCCUCAUUAGAUUCCAAAGUUUGAGGAUUGCUCAGGACAUUUCAAACCCGGACUGCUCAGGGAAACUCACUGGUACUGGAUCACGGUCUUCAAGGACAAAAAAAACGUUGCUUCGCCAGCCCAGAGAGAAGCAGACCCAAGAACUUAUCUUCGAAGUGCAGGGCAUGCAUUCAACAAGCUUUGGACGAAGGACUUCCACAGGGCCGGCAUCUCCAAAGUUCCCUCAAAAAGGCAAUUGUUCUGAACUGGGUUUGAUUGUUUUAACUAUAAAAAUUGUUUUAUCUUUUUAAACUUCCAUUGGUUAAUCUAUUUCCCAGUUAUCACUUGGCUCAUGUAAAUAAUUAUGUAGUUGUCCCUUUAAACAUCCUAAGGUCAACAUCCCCAUAGUGUUCACAUUUCUCUCAUGUAAAUGUUGUAGCUACAUAAAAAGAUUAAA